rnacentral:rRNA from 1 species
CCUACGGGCGGCAGCAGUGAGGAAUAUUGGUCAAUGGGCGAGAGCCUGAACCAGCCAAGUCGCGUGAGGGAGUACUGCCCUAUGGGUUGUAAACCUCUUUUGUCGGGGAGCAAAAGCCGGACGUGUCCGGCUGUGAGAGUACCCGAAGAAAAAGCAUCGGCUAACUCCGUGCCAGCAGCCGCGGUAAUACGGAGGAUGCGAGCGUUAUCCGGAUUUAUUGGGUUUAAAGGGUGAGCAGGCGGAUGUUUAAGUCAGCGGUAAAAUCGUGGGGCUCAACCCCAUCCAGCCGUUGAAACUGGGGAUCUAGAGUGUGCGAGAGGUAUGCGGAAUGCGUGGUGUAGCGGUGAAAUGCAUAGAUAUCACGCAGAACCCCGAUUGCGAAGGCAGCAUACCGGUGCACAACUGACGCUCAGGCACGAAAGCGUGGGUAUCGAACAGGAUUAGAUACCCGGGUAGUC